rfam:Gossypium hirsutum cultivar TM-1 chromosome 6, whole genome shotgun sequence
AUCCCAAAUGAGCUAAAAAUAAAAAUGUGCUUAUUUGAUUCAUGGGAGGCCAGAAAUCAAAUCCCAAAAUCUGGGGGUUUCGCUGAUGGUGCCUUUCCUUAAUUUUUUAAUCGAAGGUGUUUAUUAGUAACCUCUUCAGAUAUUA